CCUACGGAGUGCUGCAGUGGGGAAUAUUGGACAAUGGGCGAAAGCCUGAUCCAGCCAUGCCGCGUGUGUGAAGAAGGCCUUCGGGUUGUAAAGCACUUUCAGUGGGGAAGAAAGCCUUGGGGCUAAUACCCUCGAGGAAGGACAUCACCCACAGAAGAAGCACCGGCUAACUCCGUGCCAGCAGCCGCGGUAAUACGGAGGGUGCGAGCGUUAAUCGGAAUUACUGGGCGUAAAGCGCGCGUAGGCGGUCUGAUAAGCCGGUUGUGAAAGCCCAGGGCUCAACCUGGGAACGGCAUCCGGAACUGUCAGGCUAGAGUGCAGGAGAGGAAGGUAGAAUUCCCGGUGUAGCGGUGAAAUGCGUAGAGAUCGGGAGGAAUACCAGUGGCGAAGGCGGCCUUCUGGACUGACACUGACGCUGAGGUGCGAAAGCGUGGGUAGCAAACAGGAUUAGAUACCCCGGUAGUC
rnacentral:rRNA from 1 species